rnacentral:rRNA from 1 species
AGAGUUUGAUCCUGGCUCAGAACGAACGCUGGCGGCAGGCUUAACACAUGCAAGUCGAACGGGCUCUUCGGAGCUAGUGGCAGACGGGUGAGUAACGCGUGGGAACCUACCUAUAAGUACGGAACAACACAGAGAAAUUUGUGCUAAUACCGUAUGUGGUCUUCGGAUUAAAGAUUUAUCGCUUAUAGAUGGGCCCGCGUUAGAUUAGCUAGUUGGUGAGGUAAUGGCUCACCAAGGCGACGAUCUAUAGCUGGUCUGAGAGGAUGAUCAGCCACACUGGGACUGAGACACGGCCCAGACUCCUACGGGAGGCAGCAGUGAGGAAUAUUGGACAAUGGGGGCAACCCUGAUCCAGCCAUGCCGCGUGAGUGAUGACGGCCUUAGGGUUGUAAAGCUCUUUCGCUAGGGAAGAUAAUGACGGUACCUAGUAAAGAAGCCCCGGCUAACUUCGUGCCAGCAGCCGCGGUAAUACGAAGGGGGCUAGCGUUGUUCGGAAUCACUGGGCGUAAAGCGCGCGUAGGCGGACUUUUAAGUCAGGGGUGAAAUCCCGGGGCUCAACCUCGGAACUGCCUUUGAUACUGGAAGUCUUGAG